AUAUAACUGACCAUGGCACAUGGCAGUCAAUCGCUUCUCUUCGAUCAGAUUCAGCUGGUCGUCACGACUCUGAAUCCAUUCAGCAUCAGUCAACUUGGGGUUUGAGGGCGUCAUUUUUUUUCUUUUUUUUUUUUUUGAUUUUGAUUUUUGAUUUGCUUUUGAUUUUAUUUUUCACCCCUUUUUGAUAUUACAUUUGUAAAACCCCAAUUUGACUGUUUUCAGGUUCUC
rnacentral:lncRNA from 1 species